UACGAAGGGGGCGAGCGUUGUUCGGAAUUACUGGGCGUAAAGGGCGCGCAGGCGGCCUUAGAAGUCAGAUGUGAAAGCCCCGGGCUCAACCUGGGAAUGGCAUUUGAUACUCUGAGGCUGGAGUACGGGAGAGGAGAGUGGAAUUCCCAGUGUAGAGGUGAAAUUCGUAGAUAUUGGGAAGAACACCGGUGGCGAAGGCGGCUCUCUGGACCGUAACUGACGCUGAGGCGCGAAAGCGUGGGGAGCAAACGGG
rnacentral:rRNA from 1 species